rnacentral:rRNA from 1 species
UUGGUUAAGUUAGAAAGGGCGCACGGUGGAUGCCUUGGCACUAGGAGCCGAAGAAGGACGGGACUAACACCGAUAUGCUUUGGGGAGCUGUACGUAAGCGUUGAUCCAGAGAUUUCCGAAUGGGGGAACCCACUAUCUUUAGUCGGAUAGUAUCCUUACGUGAAUACAUAGCGUGAGGAAGGCAGACCCAGGGAACUGAAACAUCUAAGUACCUGGAGGAAGAGAAAGAAAAAUCGAUUUCCUGAGUAGCGGCGAGCGAAACGGAAAGAGCCCAAACCAAGAAGCUUGCUUCUUGGGGUUGUAGGACACUCUAUACGGAGUUACAAAAGAAAGUUAUAAAUGAAGCGGUCUGGAAAGGCCCGCCAAAGACGGUAACAGCCCGGUAGUUGAAAUAGCUUUCCCUCCAGAGUGGAUCCUGAGUACGGCGGAACACGUGAAAUUCCGUCGGAAUCCGGGAGGACCAUCUCCCAAGGCUAAAUACUCCCUAGUGACCGAUAGUGAACCAGUACCGUGAGGGAAAGGUGAAAAGCACCCCGGAAGGGGAGUGAAACAGUUCCUGAAACCGUGUGCCUACAAGUAGUUAGAGCCCGUUAAUGGGUGAUAGCGUGCCUUUUGUAGAAUGAACCGGCGAGUUACGAUUUGUUGCAAGGUUAAGCGGAAAAAGCGGAGCCGUAGCGAAAGCGAGUCUGAAUAGGGCGCAUAAGUAACAGGUCGUAGACCCGAAACCAGGUGAUCUACCCAUGUCCAGGAUGAAGGUAAGGUAAUACUUACUGGAGGUCCGAACCCACGCACGUUGAAAAGUGCGGGGAUGAGGUGUGGGUAGCGGAGAAAUUCCAAUCGAACUUGGAGAUAGCUGGUUCUCUCCGAAAUAGCUUUAGGGCUAGCCUCGAGGUAAAGAGUCAUGGAGGUAGAGCACUGUUUGGACUAGGGGCCCUUCUCGGGUUACCGAAUUCAGAUAAACUCCGAAUGCCAUGUACUUAUACUCGGGAGUCAGACUGCGAGUGAUAAGAUCCGUAGUCGAAAGGGAAACAGCCCAGACCACCAGUUAAGGUCCCCAAAUAUAUGUUAAGUGGAAAAGGAUGUGGGGUUGCUUAGACAACCAGGAUGUUGGCUUAGAAGCAGCCACCAUUGAAAGAGUGCGUAAUAGCUCACUGGUCGAGUGACCCCGCGCCGAAAAUGUACCGGGGCUAAACAUAUUACCGAAACUGUGGAUGAACCUCUUUAGAGGUUCGUGGUAGGAGAGCGUUCUAAGGGCGGUGAAGUCAGACCGGAAGGACUGGUGGAGCGCUUAGAAGUGAGAAUGCCGGUAUGAGUAGCGAAAGAAGGGUGAGAAUCCCUUCCACCGAAUAUCUAAGGUUUCCUGAGGAAGGCUCGUCCGCUCAGGGUUAGUCGGGACCUAAGCCGAGGCCGAUAGGCGUAGGCGAUGGACAACAGGUAGAGAUUCCUGUACCAGUGCUAAUUGUUUAACCGAUGGGGUGACACAGAAGGAUAGGGAAUCGCACGAAUGGAAAUGUGCGUCCAAGCAGUGAGUGUGAGAAGUAGGCAAAUCCGCUUCUCGCGAAGCAUGAGCUGUGAUGGGGAAGGAAAUUAAGUACGGAAGUUCCUGAUUUCACGCUGUCAAGAAAAGCCUCUAGGAAGAGUAGUACUGCCCGUACCGCAAACCGACACAGGUAGAUGAGGAGAGAAUCCUAAGGUGAGCGAGAGAACUCUCGUUAAGGAACUCGGCAAAAUGACCCCGUAACUUCGGGAGAAGGGGUGCUCUAUUAGGGUGCAAGCCCGAGAGAGCCGCAGUGAAUAGGCCCAGGCGACUGUUUAGCAAAAACACAGGUCUCUGCAAAACCGUAAGGUGACGUAUAGGGGCUGACGCCUGCCCGG